CAUCCAGGUCACGUGUGCUAAUUCACUUCCGCUGUCUUUCGAAGCUCCAUGUUUGACGGGAGUAGACCACGGGCACGGUGGCUCUGUUGGAAAAGUUACCCAUGGCAAUGUCUGGAAUGGUACUCUGGGUUUCUGGAAAAUGGCACAUUGGGCCCUCACUUGGCUCUGUGGUUGCCAACGUAGGCACCUGUGAGGACCUCAAUGUGCACACACAGAUCAGAAGCAAUGACAUCAGCAGGGGAUAAGCUAAAGGCACACCCCUGCUCUGGAGCAGAGCAGUGUCAUGAUGCAUAUUGCAUCAUGUACCCAAUGGCACGGAGGUGGCGUGGGAGGGCAUAUCCUAGCUGUGUUGCAUAGUCAGUGACUGAAUGUCCUUUGCCAUUAGGGAACCAACGAUGUGAGGUAAAGGCAACAUAUCCUCUACUUUGCAGGAAAAUGUCAGUUGCAUGAUGGACCCAAUGGCAUGAGCCGAAGGUGACGUGGGAGGGCAUGUCCAAGCGGCGUUCCAGAGUCAGUGAGGCCGUUGCCAUUAUGGGUAACAAGCCUGUCGAGGAGACGGGAGACUUUACGACGAGAAAUUGACAGUGGCAUUCAACAUACAAUACAGGUUUCCGCCAUGACUGCAAGUCCAUGUUGUGAGGAUUCUUUUCAAGCUCCUUUUCUUUUCGAAAUGACACUGAAUGCUCCUGUAGCUGAAAUGUCUGUCUGACCUCUGCAAUGACUGAAUAAAAAGACAAAGAAAAAAAGACAAA